ensembl:sense_intronic Gm26930 predicted gene, 26930
GUUAAAUGGGCAGACAGAUUGGAACUUGAGGGCUAUAGGUAAGAGAAAGAAAGUGGAGGCUUGAAGGCUAUAAUUUCUCUUUCUGUGGUGGUAACAAAAUCAGGGGAUGCAUGGAGUCAGGUGACUGCAGACUGGAACCAGAGUCGGGAAGAGCAAACUGCACAGAGAAGGACCCCACUCCUCAGGAUGUGCUAUGGUGGCAAGAUGGAGAAGUCCUCACUGAAUCCGUUCCACACUCAGUGCCCAAGUCCCAAUGCCUGUGACCCCGCUUCCCAGUUGAUUGGAUCCUAGAUUUGACAGUUCCAUGUUUGAUUCUCCUUCCUUCCACUUCUUUACUUUAAAGCAAAACAAAAGAUAAAUAAGUUACCAGGCCCCUGACUUCUGGCCCCUGCUGAGAGCUCAAAGAAGACACUGCAUCUAAAAGAAUACUCAGUGGACCAGAGGCAGCGGUGCAUGCUCUGGCAUGCACUUGCGGUUCUCUGCUUAUAACCUAGCCAUAUCCUUAUAUUCAGAAAAUUAAAUAGAAUCCUAGAAAUGAUAGUAAGCACAGAAAUUGUACAUUGUGACUCAUAUCAAGUGGAAAGCAGGAAGUCCUAAAACUGCCUCCUAAGUCAUCAGACUAGCUAGAGGGUGCCAUCAGCUUAAUUACAGGUUUGCACACUCAGAGAGGAUGGUGUAGAAAUGUUUGAGGAGAAAUACCCUUAUCAAGACACACAUACAGUAAACUGGAAUUACCAUCCAACCUAGACAAGAGUGUGUGUUGAAAUUGCCUGAGGAUAUUGUUCACACAGCAAACUGAUGUCAAUCUCAGAUCUUCUGACAUCUGUAUACAUAUGAUAAUCAACAGAAUUCUGCUGAGAAUUGAGUAUUUUCUUCGGGACACAUCUGCAGCUUCUGUUUACCUUUCUUCCCUGUUCUGAAGGUGUUUGCUCACUUUCCUGUAGUUUUGAUUUGCUCACGAGGAUGCCCAGACGACAGGAAGGUAAGUACAUGCAUAAAUUGUGUUAGACCUUUGGGAAUUCCUUCCUCCGUUUCAGUAUUGUGGUUUUGGUUUUGUUUUGUUAAAAAAAAAUGGGUGAGAUGAAAGCCCAUUUUCUCAUUUAUAAAUAUCCCCAUGAGAACUGGUAGCUCUGUGAGCACAGAGAAGAGGCAUGGCAGACAACCGAUACAUCCCAUCUUUAGAAGUAUUGGCAGGUUUCUGUAGGAAAUACAGUUUAUUCUGGAAGACAUGGUUACCAUAAUUA